CUGGCGGCGUGCUUAACACAUGCAAGUCGAACGAUGAUCCCAGCUUGCUGGGGGAUUAGUGGCGAACGGGUGAGUAACACGUGAGUAACCUGCCCUUGACUCUGGGAUAAGCCUGGGAAACUGGGUCUAAUACCGGAUAUGACUCCUCAUCGCAUGGUGGGGGGUGGAAAGCUUUUGUGGUUUUGGAUGGACUCGCGGCCUAUCAGCUUGUUGGUGGGGUAAUGGCCUACCAAGGCGACGACGGGUAGCCGGCCUGAGAGGGUGACCGGCCACACUGGGACUGAGACACGGCCCAGACUCCUACGGGAGGCAGCAGUGGGGAAUAUUGCACAAUGGGCGCAAGCCUGAUGCAGCGACGCCGCGUGAGGGAUGACGGCCUUCGGGUUGUAAACCUCUUUCAGUAGGGAAGAAGCGAAAGUGACGGUACCUGCAGAAGAAGCGCCGGCUAACUACGUGCCAGCAGCCGCGGUAAUACGUAGGGCGCAAGCGUUAUCCGGAAUUAUUGGGCGUAAAGAGCUCGUAGGCGGUUUGUCGCGUCUGCUGUGAAAGACCGGGGCUCAACUCCGGUUCUGCAGUGGGUACGGGCAGACUAGAGUGCAGUAGGGGAGACUGGAAUUCCUGGUGUAGCGGUGAAAUGCGCAGAUAUCAGGAGGAACACCGAUGGCGAAGGCAGGUCUCUGGGCUGUAACUGACGCUGAGGAGCGAAAGCAUGGGGAGCGAACAGGAUUAGAUACCCUGGUAGUCCAUGCCGUAAACGUUGGGCACUAGGUGUGGGGGACAUUCCACGUUUUCCGCGCCGUAGCUAACGCAUUAAGUGCCCCGCCUGGGGAGUACGGCCGCAAGGCUAAAACUCAAAGGAAUUGACGGGGGCCCGCACAAGCGGCGGAGCAUGCGGAUUAAUUCGAUGCAACGCGAAGAACCUUACCAAGGCUUGACAUGAACCGGUAAUACCUGGA
rnacentral:rRNA from 1 species